ensembl:lncRNA
GCUCUGCUGACCCACCUGCUCUGUCCUCCCCUCUCCUGCACUCUGGAUCCAGCCCUGACCAGACCUCCCCCCUGCCUCCCUCACCUUGGACCUCCUGCCUGCUCCUGGUGGAGGGUCUCUGCCUGCCGUGUGCCCCCUUUGGCUCCGGAAAACACCCCGCCUGUCGCCCCCCGAUGGAACGAGGCCCUCCUGCCCGCUCUCCACUGCCGAUCCACCCCACGGAGGACGCCAACCGGGCCGCCGGUUCCUGAUGAAACAGGAAGUACCGUCCAACUUGGUUGAUGAGUUACCAUCUCCCCGAUGAGCCCUGGAGUAUCUGAAACGUCUCAGCAGGAGAUGACUCUGGACCAGCGACACUGAUACCAGCAGCUCUAGUUACUGUCAAACUGAUUUUCUCAGCGACACAAAAGAUGACAACCAAGUGACAGGGCCUCGCCCAAUGAACACGAAACAAGCAAUUAACCCACCUAUCACCCUAUAAUCAUGAAUCGACUGUGGAGUUAGCUGGCUCCCGCUUUGCUAGCGAUUGUCCCCAUUUUGGCAGCGGAGGCUUUUGGAGGGAAAACAUGGAACAUCUGGUGGAAGCAGACAGGGGCUGGCGCUACACGAUGGGAGAACAAGUGCCUGAAAGCUUCAUUAUGCCCCAGCUGUUGGGCUUGCUGUUGCCCUCAGCAAAAACAACCUCGACAGGAUGAUGUUCCUGGCAAGUGAGCUGCAGAAUAUUUGAAGCAAGACCCCCUUUUUGGUGGUGUUUUGUGAGGAAACGUGAGCAGGAGCUGGUGAUGAUGGUGUUUUUUC